UUUUUUUGGAAUAAAGUUAAGUUGUAUUGAUCCAAAAAAGUACAUGAUACGAGAGGCAUACCCCAAGUAUUACAAAGGACCUGGAAGGUCAACAAAAAGGAAACAAGCUUGUACAUCGAAAGAAACCAUACAAAGCAGCAUAAACCGUUCAAGCGGUUGAUAUAGAAAUAAUCCAAACUCAGGUAAUAUCACCGCUCAACUGGAAGGUAAAAAAGAUGGUGCCACACGAUGAGUCGCUGCCCGAGUUUUCAUCUCGGGGAUAUCCUUCUUCUUUUUCCUCCUAGUAACAAGUGUAAAUCCAGUGUCAUCACAUCCAACAGAUUGUACAGCAGAUAGAGAUUCUGGAGGAAGUGCUCGAGAUGGUGUCAUCUUAGGUAAAUAUGUGGUAGGUACCCUAGAUGAAGAACUGGUUUCAGAAGAUGAAGGCAAAGACAUUUGCU
rnacentral:lncRNA from 1 species